AUUAAAUUGUGCCUUAUUUUUCAUGGCUACGAUCAUGUGUAGUGUCUGUUCUUAGCAGUUUAAUACCUGAUAUGUCCCCUAUCUGGGGAAAAUAUAUUAUAUGGAUUUUUGAGAACGUGGGCAGAUUUCGAAGCUUGCUUCCGUCGCCCCAUGCAUUGACCCGAUAUGACAGUAUCUUCAGGUACAGUGCACCUAAA